CUCAAAAGUAUAUAAAAACAUUCGUUGAAAUUGGACAGGAGAUUCCGGAUAAUACGUAAUGUAUGUUAACGCAUAUGUGUAUAUGAUGUGUAUUACAAGUUUAAUUUGAUGGGAAGGUGAAAUGAAAUGCCUAAGAAAUAUAUACGAAAUCGACUGAGAGCUUCCAGCAUCUUUUGGUCAUCUAUGAAAUUUGGACACAGCUUAUUUUAUCACGAUGAUAAUCGACUUAUUAAAUCACGACUAACCAAAAAUCGAUUCGACAAAAAAGGAAUUUAAUUUUUUGGUCAGUAAGACCAUUCCAAACUUCACAAAAGGCCGCUAAUCAAAGCGAUAUGAUGUCUGAAUAUGCGCGCACUGAAGAGGAAGUUUGCUAAGCUCUACGAGAUCACACAAACUUAUUUGUAGAUGUAAUUGUAAUAUCUUUAUAAUAUAUUUAUC